rnacentral:rRNA from 1 species
CAACUCGACUACAUGAAGCUGGAAUCGCUAGUAAUCGCAAAUCAGAAUGUUGCGGUGAAUACGUUCCCGGGUCUUGUACACACCGCCCGUCACACCAUGGGAGUUGGAUAUGCCCGAAGUCAGUGACCCAACCGAAAGGAGGGAGCUGCCGAAGGUGGAGCCGAUGACUGGGGUGAAGUCGUAACAAGGUAAC